UACAGAGGGUGCAAGCGUUGUUCGGAAUUAUUGGGCGUAAAGAGCGUGUAGGCGGUUAUGCAGGUCCGCUGUGAAAACUGGAGGCUUAACCUCCAGACGUCGGUGGAAACCGUAUGACUAGAGUCCGGAAGAGGAGAGUGGAAUUCCUGGUGUAGCGGUGAAAUGCGCAGAUAUCAGGAAGAACACCCGUGGCGAGCGGCAGCACUCUGGGACGGUACUGACGCUGAGACGCGAAAGCGUGGGGAGCGAACAGG
rnacentral:rRNA from 1 species